ACCAUCAUCGUCUAGUGGUUUAGGAUACCAGAUUUUCAUUCUGGGGGCCGGAGUUCGAACCUCCGUGAUGGUG